rnacentral:tRNA from 3 species
GCCGGUGUAGCUCAGUUGGCUAGAGCAGCUGAUUUGUAAUCAGCAGGUCGGGGGUUCGAGUCCCUUCACCGGCUCCA